rnacentral:tRNA from 2 species
CGCGGGAUGGAGCAGUUGGUAGCUCGUCGGGCUCAUAACCCGAAGGUCACAGGUUCGAGUCCUGUUCCCGCUACCA